GACUAGUGAAUUGUUUAUUUUGCAGAAAAGUGCGCAAAGGCACUAUAAUCGUCAAGACUUCUACUAUGUGGCUAACGAGAAGAGAGAAGGGCAUGAAAGAAAUACGUCAAGGCUUGAGCGUGAAGGAAAGAAGUAAUGUAGGGGAGCAAACUAAAAGAAGAGGAGGAUCUUCUUGGGAAGAAAGAAGAAAGGAGGAGGGCCAAAGUAAAAAAAGACAGAACAGAGGAGGGGAUCAAAAAUCCCUAGCGCAGCCGAUCCCCAUCAGGCCUGCAUCUCACCUCUCUCCCUCACCCCUCCUUCUCCACCACCGGCCGUCGCCGCGGCCAGGCCGGCGUGGCGGUGCGCCUGCUGCUCCUCCACUCAGCCACGAGCACCAUCCGCCGCACCAUCCAUCCAUCCCAGCCGCGCCGUGCCAUCCAUCCACCACUCCACCAGCGUCACUAGCUCCACUUCACCACCGCGCCUCACCAGCGCCCACCUCGCGCGCCCCUCCUGCCGCUUCCUCUCUGAACCCGCUGUUGCUGCUGCAUCUUCCUUCUUCCUCUCGACCUCCUGUUGCUCUUCUCCAAGCACCGCUGCUGCUCCUUCCUUGCAACCCCCCUGCUGUUGUUCAUCCUCUCCACCUCCUUGCGCCUCCCUGCCGGUACCCUUCUCUGCUCAAAACUGCUGCUGCUUGUGCACUCCAGCUUCUCCUUCUUCUCCUGCCUACUGCUGGUUCUUCUUCCCCACAUCACUUUUGCUGCUCCUCUUCUCUGCCUCGCUACUGUUCUUCUUACCUGAACCUCAAAAUUGCUGCUGUUCUCUUCUAAACAACAAAACUGCUGCUACUACUACCUCAACCUCCUAUUGCUUUCUUUCUUUCUCACUCUCUUUUAAAUUUCUGUAAGAUUGAGACGCAUGUGAUUUGUAUUAUUCAGAUUUGAUAAGUGUUAGUAAUCUACUGUUGUUCAGUUCAGACUUCCUGUGUGUGUUAAUUAGUUAAAAUUGUCACUUGUGUACUGCUUGUUGCAGAUUCUUGCUCAUUUUUGUUGUCUAUGUGUUAGCUCAUGCAUCUGAGAAUUAUAAAGACAUAUGUGUGUGUGGUUGAUGUGAAACAAUUAUAUAUAUGUCUCAUGUUUGUUAGUUAGUGGUUUGUAUAAAUUCAGAUUACUACUUGUGAUUUAAUUUUGUAUUGAAAUUGUUCUCUGUGGUAGUCAGUUGUGUGAUCAUUCAAUUUUCAGUCUAUGUAUUAGCUCUGUACCUGUAAUAUAUGUUGUGACAUGAAGCAUUUUCAUCCUUGUCCAUUAUCUUGUUUCUUCACUCUGUCAUACGCUUGUUAGAUAAAUAUAUGUGUUCAUGUCCUGUUGUUCCCUUUUGUGUUAGCAUUUUAGUUUCUCAAGUAACAGGAAAACACCAAAAAAGACAAUAUAGACAAUCUGAACCUCCCCUUUGCUUAUUUUACAUUUUCUUUGGCGACGAUCUUCGGGAACUACCUUGUUAGUUUAGGUUUAUUUUCUUGCAUUUAUAAUCUGAGUUCUGUCACCUAGCUUUAGCCGAGCAUUGUUGCUGUCGCCUAGUCCCUGUGGAGAACACGACACUCACAGUUCGGGUGAAAUAUCCCGCAGUACUUUCAAUCGAUCAUUUUGGCGCCGUUGCCGGGGACUAGCGUCGUGUGACCGUGUUAGGCUAUAGACUAGGUUUUGCUUCUGUUUCUAUCUGGUGCCAUAUAUUUGUGAUAUAUCUCUUACCCCUAACCACUGUUCUAGUUAUCUUCUCUUUCUUUUCUUGUUCAUUUUGUAGGUUGAAUUGUCUUCUCGGAUAUGGCUUACUAUUCAGAUCAUCAUGCUUAUGCGAGCAACACUACAAACAACACGGAAAGUAUUCAAGAACUGAUAAGUAAGAUUUCCCAUCAAUUAGAUGAUUUAGCUCAGCAGCGAGGAGUAGUUUUUGAGGAUAGGCCUAGUUCUUAUUAUCCUUAUUCCGGAAGCAAUCCUUAUGUUGCUCCUACAUGCCAUAUUUGUGGAUUUCAGGGCCAUUCGCCCGCUGAAUGUCAGCGUGGUUACUCUCACACUCCAGAUUGUUUUGGCAUGAGCUUCGCUCAAGAGCAUAGCUCAUACCAAAACAAUUACUCACAUGGGUGUCCUGAAAACCCGAAUAUGUCAUAUAGGAGCAACAACCCCGAGAUCUCACCGCUUGCUUCUAGUAAUCAUAUGCAGGGAUUUAGGUAUGAAGAGGAGAGCCACAGCUAUGCUCCACAACAGUCUUAUUCAGCUCCUAUUCAUAUACCUCAGCACGAGGAGAUGUUGCCAAUGGAGUUAAAUGGUCCUCCAUUUGGUCAACCAACACCUUCAACACAAGUGCCUACUCAAGAUGAGUUUGAUGACAUAGACAAGUUCACACUUUUGAGUCUUGAGUUCAGUUGGAGUGCCGAGGAUGAUCCUAUUAGGAAGGUUAUACUAGAUGAAAUGAAGAAGAUCAAGAGUGGGAAUGAGCUAGUGGAAGAAGUAAAGAAGAUUGAGAAGAACAUCAACGCUGGCAGCUCUAUUUCUUCACAGCUAGAGCUGAGUGUUGCUGAGAUUCCCCUUGAUACAUGUGAGGUUCCAACACCUUCACAUUUCGUUGAGCAAGUUAGCAAGUGCCUUGAGCAAGAGAUACCUCAGAUUGAAGAAGAUGAACUAGAAGACAAGGACCAAGAUGGUCAAGAGCUGCAAUUCCCAAGUGAUCAAGUUGAAGACUCAUCAUCUACUACUGAAGAACUACAAGAAGCUGCUGUAGAUAAAGAUGAAGAUCAUGAGAUUCAUUUGCCUAUUGUCAUACCAGAGCGUGAUGUGUCAGGUUUACUCAAUCCUCUUGAUGACAUGAUGCCUUGUGAUUUCUUUGCUACUACCUUGCUUUACAUGAUACUAUCACUUAAGAUUGAUUUGAAAACUCAUUUGCUUGGAUAUGAUGAUAUAUACCCUGUUAGUGGUAUUACUCUCAUUUGUGAUGAUCAUAGUUACUUUCCUCGUGCUAAUCCUAUGCUUAAUGAAACAUAUCACUCCCAUGCUAGUCUUGCACUUAAUGAUAAAUGUCAUCCUCGUGUGAGUAUUGACCAUGCUGAUUUCUGCCAUCCUAAACAUGUGCUUUAUAGUUAUGCUUAUAUAAUUGGAUAUUCCAUUGAUGACUUGGAGGGCAUCGACCGUAUCACUUGUAGUUGUUUGUGUGAGUCCUAUUUCAGGCUUUUGCUACUGCACUGUUUACUACAUGCUGACCAGGUUUGAGGUGACAUUCCUUGGGAUCCUGGUGGAGUCACAGCAUGGCGAUGAGGGGAGCACAAACAGGGAACACAAACAGAGAAGAGUGGAGAGAAGAAAGUAGGAGAGAAGAGUAUACAAAUACCAGGUGAUUCUGUUCCACUUGAAGCAACCUUUAGAAAAUUUAGUACGAGAACUGGCAUUUUAUUGCAUUGAAACGCUUUUUGCAUUGUGACACCUUACUCUUCACUGCAAAGUAGGAUUCACUCCAAGAAGAUUGUUGAUUCUCUUAAUACUAAAACUAUGCAGCAGUAUUCUUCUUAUGGUAAUUUGUGAUAAUGAAUACUUUAUACCUCCAUGUAAAUGUUCAAUGGGAAUGCCUUGAGUCUAAGUGAAACCUACUAAUGAAUUGAUGUGCUGUGUCUGACUGUCCCACGUUAAGCUAAGUAACUGGUGGCACUUAAGUAGUAGCUAUGAUCUCUGGAUCUGUAGUAUGUGAAAAACAGUGCCAUUAGUUAUGGAUUCCUCUUUCAAUUAUUCCUGUUUUACUUAAGCUAAGUAAUUUUCAAAUAACUAAAUAAAAUAAUUAUAAUAUUUUAAGUCCGAUCGACCUAUAGUAGCAUGUCAUGUUCCCUGGAUCGGUGGCUUGUGAAAUCUGGUAGAUUGGACUCUAAAAAAAAAUUAUAUAAAAAUGCUAUAAUUUGUCGAACCAGGUGUAUACCAUGUUCUCGGGAUCGGUGGUAUGUUCCUUUGGGGAGAUAACAAAAAAAUAUACUAAUAAUUUGGUCGAGCCAGGUGUAUACCAUGUUCUCGGGAUCGGUGGUAUGUUCCUUUGGUGAGACUGAUAUAAUAUCAUCACUUGUGCUUUAAAUUCAAUAAGUAACUUGUUUUUCUAAUUGAUUUUGGGGUCCCAGCUUAUCUCAGGGCUGAAGACAGAGCCAGCUCUUGAUUAUUAGUAUUCACUUUGACUCAAGGCCAUUGACUUGGAACAUUUACAGUGUGUUAUAAAAUAUUUCUUAUCACAAUUUAGCUUCAGUAGAGUACAUUUGCUUAGUUCCAGUAUUGUCGGAAUUACUAUCUAUCGGAAAGUGCAUAUUUACUAGGCAGUGUGAGUUGUGUCACCAUCAAAUUUUUUUUCCUUUGCUCGAGGACAAGCAAAGAUUUAAGUGUGGGGGAACUUGAUAAGCACAUUUCUUAUAUACUAUUUGGGCACACAAAUUCACCUUUUAUUGAGAUAUAUCCAUCCAUUCUUGCUAUGACUUGUUGAAUAUUUGAAUGAUAACCAUAAAAGAGAAUGUUGACUAGUGAAUUGUUUAUUUUGCAGAAAAGUGCGCAAAUGCACUAUAAUCGUCAAGACUUCUACUAUGUGGCUAACGAGAAGAGAGAAGGGCAUGAAAGAAAUACGUCAAGGCUUGAGCGUGAAGGAAAGAAGUAAUGUAGGGGAGCAAACUAAAAGAAGAGGAGGAUCUUCUUGGGAAGAAAGAAGAAAGGAGGAGGGCCAAAGUAAAAAAAGACAAAACAGAGGAGGGGAUCAAAAAUCCCUAGCGCAGCCGAUCCCCAUCAGGCCUCGCAUCUCACCUCUCUCCCUCACCCCUCCUUCUCCACCACCGGCCGUCGCCGCGGCCAGGCCGGCGUGGCGGUGCGCCUGCUGCUCCUCCACUCAGCCACGAGCACCAUCCGCCGCACCAUCCAUCCAUCCCAGCCGCGCCGCGCCAUCCAUCCACCACUCCACCAGCGUCACCAGCUCCACUUCACCACCGCGCCUCCACCAGCGCCCACCUCGCGCGCCCCUCCUGCCGCUUCCUCUCUGAACCUGCUAUUGCUGCUGCAUCUUCCUUCUUCCUCUUGACCUCCUGUUGCUCUUCUCCAAGCACCGCUGCUGCUCCUUCCUUGCAACCCCCCUGUUGUUGUUCAUCCUCUCCACCUCCUUGCGCCUCCCUGCCGGUACCCUUCUCUGCUGAAAACUGCUGCUGCUUGUGCGCUCCAGCUGCUCCUUCUUCUCCUGCCUACUGCUAGUUCUUCUUCCCCACAUCACUUUUGCUGCUCCUCUUCUCUGCCUCGCUACUGUUCUUCUUACCUGAACCUCAAAAUUGUUGCUGUUCUCUUCUAAACAACAAAACUGCUGCUACUACUACCUCAACCUCCUGUUGCUUUCUUUCUUUCUCACUCUCUUUGAAAUUUCUGUAAGAUUGAGACGCAUAUGAUUUGUAUUAUUCAGAUUUGAUAAGUGUUAGUAAUCUACUGUUGUUCAGUUCAGACUUCCUGUGUGUGUUAAUUAGUUAAAAUUGUCACUUCUGUACUGCUUGUUGCAGAUUCUUGAUCAUUUUUGUUAUCUAUGUGUUAGCUCAUGCAUCUGAGAAUUAUAAAGACUGUGUGGUUGAUGUGAAACAAUUAUAUAUAUGUCUCCUGUUUGUUAGUUAGUGGUUUGUAUAAAUUCGGAUUACUACUUGUGAUUUAAUUUUGUAUUGAAAUUGUUCUCUGUGGUAGUCAGUUGUGUGAUCAUUCAAUUUUCAGUCUAUGUAUUAGCUCUGUAC
rnacentral:lncRNA from 1 species